rnacentral:lncRNA from 1 species
AUAAGAAUUUCUAAACUUGAAAAAAGGAGAAAUAAAUUACUUGUUGAAAAAUUCGUGUGUGUUUUUUUUUCCCCAGUUCUGAAGAAAGAACAUAUACUUAACAUAAUAGUAGGCAUCCAACUCUUGGAGGACAUCAAAAAUGGAAUUUUCUUAUACAACCUAACUAUUCAAAUUAGCAUAUAAUCUUUUUAGCCUUUCUAAAUAAAUGCUUUUGUGUUUGCAGGUCUUAUCAUUUCUCUGCAGCUUCUUCGUGGAGACAUGGAACAUAUUAGGAGAGAAAAUCCCAUGAUAUUUAGUAGGGGAUUGGCAAUUACAAGAAAAUUGGGAUUUCCUGAUGUCAUCAUGCCAGCACAUACCCAGUGGAGAGUGUGGCCUGAUCAUAGAGAAGGACCGUGUGAUGGAUUCCAGCUGGCUUCCAGCUUUUCCCACAUUAUGGCCAGACUUGUUUUCUGUCACCUUUAUUCUCUCCCCAUAGACUUUGUGAAUGCAGAGUAAGCCAUUAUGAACAGCCUUUGUCUCUUGCUCAUGUGCACAGAAGGGUCUUUUGGAUGGGAAUCACAGGCAAUUCAGUCGAUUCCAUAUUUAUCUGUAAAUGCAGAGACUUCAUGCUUAUGAAGGGUCCCCACCUGGCUGUUGUGAAGGUGAUGUCCUCCACGGGACAUUUCUCCCAUCCCAUCCCGACAAUGUUCCUCAGCCCUCUGUGACCCUGGAAAUCAUGAAAAGAAGAGCCCAGGCGUAGUCCCUGACCUCUUGGCAGUAUAUCUUUGAAGAAAGAAUUGGUGUUUACUAAAAUGGAUAUGUUGAUCUUUUAAAAUUUAGAUAUCCAGGCUCAUGUGGAGUUAUGUAUUCUAAAAGAUGGACUUAAAAUCCUUCCUUUUAAGAACUUGUUUUGUCUAAGAUUUGGACACUUCCUUCCUAUUAGUCUUCACACAGAGAAUCAAAAAAAAAAAAAAAGUGAGCAGAGACUAGAAAUGAGCAAGCUUAAGUCAAAAAGGAUUGUUGGGGGGUUUUUGGUUUUUUAUUUGUUUGUUUGUUUG